UCUCUCUUCUCUUUGCAAGUAAAAAGGCUACAUGAUUAAUUCUGCUUUCAACAUCGGAUGUGAAAGCCUGCUUAGGAACCCCCUGCAUGGAAUGGCAGCAGAGAAGAACAAGAAGUGCCUGGUUUGUGUCAGGAGGAACAGGCUGUGCUGUUUCCAGUGCUCUCCUCAGCCUCCCACAGCCACAGAGUCCUUAACAGCAGUCAUUAAACUUCCUAACGUAGACCAACAGGAGGCCUUGUACUGGGAGAGAGUCCUUGAAGUCCAGCUAAAAUCUUUCUCCUCUUAGUCAUGGUCGUUCCUCAAAGCCACACAGUACCUUCAGAAAAUCUGAACAGAAGCAGAGCUGCCCUGCAAGGGUGUCAGUACUGCUGGAAGCAUUAACAGCUUUAAUGAGGAAAGCAGGGCAGGUUUGAGGGUUUGUAGUUGCUGCUCUGCACAGGCCCAGGUGAGAUGCACGCUGGCUUAAAUGGGCAUUUGGAGAAUUACUAAGGUAGGUGUGACAGCAGUGAACCAAAAUUGUUCAUUAUGGGGAGGGUAGGUGGAAGGAAAACCAGUUUAGAUGUGAUGUUACCAACACUUUUCCUUUAUUCCCAGAAGAAAAGACAUGUCAGUGACUCUCCUCCACGUUGUCUCCUGAGAUAGAAGACUUCCCAAGGUGUGUGUAGAUUGAAACCAAACACAAAAACCUCCUACUCCAGGUGCUGUUCUCCAACAAAGAAUUACUCAUCCCAUUCUGUUCCAGCUUUUGAGGAUACAAUACCAACUCCCAAAAGGCAUCCUGGAGCCUGUUGUUAUUUUGGGAUGCCUCAGCCCCAGCUGGAUUCAGACAGAAGUUAACCAACAGCAUUUAAUUACAGCUACGUCAAAAGCUUGUGUCAAACAGUGUAGUCCAUACAGAAAAUAGAAAGUAAUUGUGUGAGGACUGAAGACCUUAAAUCAUAUAAGUGGAAGGAGUAAAAAGAAUUCAGGUUCAAAGUGGAAGCAGCACCUUAGUGCAGCAAAAGCCCCCCAGCCUGGUAGGAUUUGGCAUUAUGGAGUGCAAUAGCCAAGAAAAGGAGUUGGAAGAGGCUGAAGUUGCCCAGAUUUUCACCCACCAUGUGUGAUCCUGAGCCUUCAGGGGCAAGGCAGUGUGAAGGGAGAAUGAAUAAAUGUGAGGGAACAAAGACAAGGCAUGGGAUCAAGCCACGAGGAAUUGAAGUGUUCACAGCAACACCACGCUGGUAACAAACACUGAGUCCUGCCAACCCAGACAGGCAGAAAUCGUGAGUUGGGUUCUCACCAAGCGCAGCAUCAGCUCUAAAACGCAGCAAAGAAGGCGCUUAGAUUCCAGCAGUGGGAAGUUUUGGAACAGAAGGAAACAGAAGAUAUUGCCGUGGUUUGGCUAAAAGUGAGACAGGAGGUUUUCCUUGCUCCUGAGGGAUGUCCAUGGGGAACAGGCAAAAGGCAAAACUGAUAAUACCCUAUGUAGAAACAGGCACAUCCCCCAAUAAACAGAGCCUCAUCCCGGCAUUAAAAUGCCAAACAGAUGGAGGAACCUUUCCUGGGAAUAUGCAUAGGGAAAAAAAUGGCUGAGAAGUCUGGGAAAUGGAGAAGGUAGAUCUCGCUGACUGCAGCAGAUUGGGCUUUCCACAAAUGUAAACAGCACUUGGCUGCUGUCCUUUGCUCUCUGGUGUACAGCCUGCCCUUGGCAUCUCACGACUUCACAUCUGGAAAAGUGCUUUUGGGGAGGUGGGAGUGAUGCUCCUGGUCCUGCUUCCCAAGCUGGUCCAAAACUGCCACGGCCAGCGCAGGAAGCAAAGAAAUCCUGAGGCUGUUGCAGCAGAGGAGGCCUGAGCCUGUCAUCAAACUACAGCUUUUCCCUUCUGUGCUGGUUUAAGGGUCUCCUGAACAGUGUACCCUUGGCUCAACACCAGGGAGGACAUAUAUCUGUAGGUCAAGCCCCGAGGUCUGAAGAACAACUACAUCAACAAGGAAACAACGCCCAAACAGAAACCUGAAUCAAUAGUCUGUCAAGCCCUUUAAUUAUGUGGCUCAUUUUGUACUGAUGUAAGCAGAUCCUUAAUUCUGAAGCAACCUGUGCCUAGGGAAAAGGAGUGGAAGAGACUGUGGUGUCCCUGUACACAGCAGCUGAUGGGGAAGCAUGAUCCAGUGAAGAGAUGGAAGAGCAUGAGAGAUGUAAAACCUCAGCCAGACUGACAUUCGGGAGUUGUGGAGAUACCCAGGGAG